rnacentral:rRNA from 1 species
GACAGAGGGUGCAAACGUUGUUCGGAAUUACUGGGCGUAAAGCGAGUGUAGGCGGUUUGGAAAGUCGGAUGUGAAAGCCCCGGGCUCAACCCGGGAAGUGCAUUCGAUACUCCCAAGCUAGAGUAUCGGAGAGGUUGGUGGAAUUCUCGGUGUAGAGGUGAAAUUCGUAGAUAUCGAGAGGAACACCGGUGGCGAAGGCGGCCAACUGGACGAAUACUGACGCUGAGACUCGAAAGCGUGGGGAGCAAACAGG